rnacentral:misc_RNA from 1 species
GAUGAAGAACGUAGCGAAAUGCGAUACGUAAUGUGAAUUGCAGAAUUCAGUGAAUCAUCGAGUCUUUGAACGCACAUUGCGCCCCCUGGUAUUCCGGGGGGCAUGCCUGUCCGAGCGUCAUAGCUGCCCUCAAGCACGGCUUGUGUGUUGGGCCUCCGUCCUCCUCCCGGGGGACGGGCCCGAAAGGCAGCGGCGGCACCGCGUCCGGUCCUCGAGCGUAUGGGGCUUCGUCACCCGCUCUUGUAGGCCCGGCCGGCGCUUGCCGACACAUCAAUCUUUUUUCCAGGUUGACCUCGGAUCAGGUAGGGAUACCCGCUGAACUUAAGCAUAUCAAUAAGCGGAGGA